rnacentral:rRNA from 1 species
UGACCUCGGAUCAGGUAGGAAUACCCGCUGAACUUAAGCAUAUCAAUAAGCGGAGGAAAAGAAACCAACAGGGAUUGCCUCAGUAACGGCGAGUGAAGCGGCAACAGCUCAAAUUUGAAAUCUGGCCCCAGGCCCGAGUUGUAAUUUGCAGAGGAUGCUUUUGGCGCGGUGCCUUCCGAGUUCCCUGGAACGGGACGCCAUAGAGGGUGAGAGCCCCGUCUGGUUGGAAACCAAGCCUUUGUAAAGCUCCUUCGACGAGUCGAGUAGUUUGGGAAUGCUGCUCAAAAUGGGAGGUAUAUGUCUUCUAAAGCUAAAUACCGGCCAGAGACCGAUAGCGCACAAGUAGAGUGAUCGAAAGAUGAAAAGCACUUUGAAAAGAGAGUUAAAUAGCACGUGAAAUUGUUAAAAGGGAAGCGUUCAUGACCAGACUUGGACCGGUUAAUCAUCCAGCGUUCUCGCUGGUGCACUUUGCCGGUCCAGGCCAGCAUCAGUUCGCCGCGGGGGAUAAAGACGUCGGGAAUGUGGCUCUUCGGAGUGUUAUAGCCCUUCGUGUAAUACCCUGUGGUGGACUGAGGUUCGCGCUCUGCAAGGAUGCUGGCGUAAUGGUCAUCAACGACCCGUCU